GAAAGAACUACAGGAUUCCCCUAGUAACGGCGAGUGAAGCGGGAUGAGCUCAAGCUUAAAAUCUCCGUGCAAGUUUUGCACGGCGAAUUGUAGUCUAUAGAGGCGUGGUCAGUGAGGGCGCUCGGGGCAAGUUCCUUGGAAGAGGACAGCAUGGAGGGUGAUACUCCCGUUCAUCCCUGAGUGGCUUUUGCGUACGACCCGUGUUCUUUGAGUCGCGUUGUUUGGGAAUGCAGCGCAAAGUAGGUGGUAAAUUCCAUCUAAAGCUAAAUAUUGGUGCGAGACCGAUAGCGAACAAGUACCGUGAGGGAAAGAUGAAAAGAACUUUGAAAAGAGAGUUAAAGAGUACCUGAAACUGCUGAAAGGGAACCGAAUCGUUUCCAGUGUCUAUAAUCCGUGGCAUAUUUCAUUGGCGAGUGUGUGCGUGCGUGUGCUGUGGCAGUGGCUUUUUUGGCUGCGCUCGGCGUGUGUGCUGUGUGUGCUUGUUGGUGCCCUGUGGUGCGGUGGGACGUCAAGGUCAGUUCGUAUGCUGCGGGAAAUGGCUGCCGAGGAGGUAGGGCUUACGCUCCGCGUUUGUCUGUUAUAUCUUGGUGGACGAGUACUCGCGGUUGGGACUGAGGUGCCUACAACGUGCUUUUGAGUGUGUAUGGGUCUCCGUGUGCGCCGUGUGCGGAUAGCUUGCUAUGCGUGUGUGGUUGUGUGUGGAUUGAUGCGUACUGUAACUUGUCGCCGUUCGGGACGUUGACGAAAUGGAGCGAUCCGACCCGUCUUGAAACACGGACCAAGGAGUCUAACAUGUGUGCAAGUGUUAGGGUGUGGAAACCCCAGCGCGAAAUGAAAGUAAAGGGCAGCGCAAGCUGUCUGAGGUAGGAAACGUUGCGGGCUUCGGCCUGCGGCGUGGCACUAUCGACCGAUCAUGAGCCUUCGUGGUGAAAGAUUUGAGUUUGAGCACAUAUGUUGGUACCCGAAAGAUGGUGAACUAUGCCUGAGUAGGGUGAAGCCAGGGAAACU
rnacentral:rRNA from 1 species